AUGUGUAACAUUCAAGGUUUUAUUCAGUAUUUACAUACAGUACACAAGUCAGAAACAAUGGUCAAGAAACCUUCAAAUAAGGUCAGUUGGAUAUAAAAUAAAAUCUGCAGUCAAAACAACAGAUUUUCCAUUAAAAAUCACAAACAAGUGUUUUUUUCUUUCUAAGCAUAUUUUUUAUGUCCACGUAGGUGUUGGAGAUAUACAGAGCUAUGAUGAAACAAUCACAUGUUCUUUUACAGCUAAUACAUUUCCCUUUCUGCUCCUUAAGAAAACAUAAACCUGACGUUCAGUCAUUUUAGUACCCUGUGGUUGCAACCGAGCCAAAUAUAGACAUUACCUCGUCCUCAACCCACUCUCGUACCCGAACACGUUCUUGAUAUUAUUUUUCAUGACGUUACCGUAGCAACCCUCCUAUAAGGUAGCCUCGUUUCAUUUGACAGUGCAGUGGUGGUGAUGAUCAAGAAUCAUAAGCUUUAUGUAAAUGGUUUACUCUAACUUGUAUGCUACUUUAUGACUCAUAGGGCCACUGUGUCAGGUGAGGGGACAGGUAGUCGUUUUCCCUAACUAAAGCUUCAUAGGGCCACUGUGUCAGGUGAGGGGACAGGUAGUCGUUUUCCCUAACUAAAGCUUCAUAGGGCCACUGUGUCAGGUGAGGGGACAGGUAGUCGUUUUCCCUAACUAAAGCUUCAUAGGGCCACUGUGUCAGGUGAGGGGACAGGUAGUCGUUUUCCCUAACUAAAGCUUCAUAGGGCCACUGUGUCAGGUGAGGGGACAGGUAGUCGUUUUCCCUAACUAAAGCUUCAUAGGGCCACUGUGUCAGGUGAGGGGACAGGUAGUCGUUUUCCCUAACUAAAGCUUCAUAGGGCCACUGUGUCAGGUGAGGGGACAGGUAGUCGUUUUCCCCACACUAAAGCUUCAUAGGGCCACUGUGUCAGGUGAGGGGACAGGUAGUUGUUUUCCCUAACUAAAGCUUCAUAGGGCCACUGUGUCAGGUGAGGGGACAGGUAGUCGUUUUCCCCACACUAAAGCUUCAUAGGGGCCACUGUGUCAGGUGAGGGGACAGGUAGUCGUUUUCCCCACACUAAAGCUUCUCUUCUGAAAAACCUCACGGCCUUAGCCCCGUCCUCACUAGAUCAAGUAGCACUCAGUUUAAUGAAAUUUCCUAGUUACUAUUGAUAUCACGAGAGAUUAAAGGGUUUGAAAUUGCCCCCAUAAACGAAAUAUUCCUAAUCCAGCUCGGUGUGGCCGUUUGUGUCGACUACAUCAGCACCGUGAAUCGAGUGCACUUAUAGCACGUCAAAGCCUCAGACUCAGUGGGUGUCAUGUCCUUCACAUGACAAGACAGAGCUGGCUUCAUCAUGGCUCAGACUCUCAGAGUGGAGAGUGGGAUACUAAAGGCAUGUAACAAGUAUCAUUAAUACCAAUUCUCAUGUUCGAAUUCUUAUGACACGUUCUACUAAUCCCUUGAACGAUGCAAGUCUGUCUUGCAUGAAGUAGUGAUUUCCUUGCUUAUUGUGGCCAAUGAGAAUACAGAAUUAGCAGGCUAGGGUCCAUUUUAAAAGCAUGUUUUGACACAAUAGACAAUGUUGGGUAUUUUUGCCAGCAUUUAGCUGAUAAUGUAGUUGACCAUCAUUGUCCUCCACAAAGAAAAUCGGGGAGGGGACUGUGGAUCUAUAUCCGUCCGUUAUCUCAGACAGCACUGGCCUAAUUUUGACGAGACUUGGGGGAAUGAUGCAUCUUGCAAUAGAGAUCCGCCAUUUACAAAAUGACACUGUUUGGCCAGACUGUGGCGUUAUAACAAGUUAUUGAAAAUGCAAACUUUAAAAGGUCACACCCCUCAGACCAUUUGACCAAAAGUCAUUAAAUUCUGUACAUACAGUAUGUCCCUCUCCUCACAAGAAACAAAUAAGGUCUGCUAUGAUGGAUUUUCAGCCAUUUACAAUUUUGUGCUAAAGACUUACAACGCUACUCCUCUGGCAUCGAAUUACCAAUCUGUAUGAAACAUGAUAUUUGGCAUCUAUGGACAAAGAUCUCUCAACGCAAUAUUUUCCAGACUAGUACCUAAAACAACAUAGCCGCUCUUGACCAAUAAACAUUCACGUGGGCGUGGUCUGGCACAUUAAUGCAUAUAAAUCAGUUACAGAUAUUCGUAUUGUAACAAACUCUGGUGAACAUGUUGCAAACACUGUCAGGACUCAUCAUACAGUGCCUUUGGAAAGUAUUCAGACCCCUUGAUUUUUCCCACAUUUUGUUACGUUACAGCCUUAUUCUAAAAUGUAUUAAAUUGUUUUUUUUCCCCUCAUUAAUUUAUAGACAAUAUGACAAAGCAAAAACGAUCACAUUUACAUAAGUAUUCAGACUGUUUAAUCAGUACUUAAUCAGUACACAGAGGAACUCUAGAGCUCUGUCAGAGUGACCAUCGGGUUCUUGGUCACCUCCCUGACCAAGGCCCUUCUCCCCCGAUUGCUCAGUUUGGCCAGGCAGCCAGCUCUAGGAAGAGUCUUGGUGGUUCCAAACUUCUUCCAUUUAAGAAUGAUGGAGGACACUGUGUUCUUGGAGACCUUCAAUGCUGCAGAAAUGUUUUGGUACCCUUCCCCAGAUCUGUGCCUCGACACAAUCCUGUCUUGGAGCUCUAUGGACAAUUCCUUUGACCUCAUGGCUUGGUUUUUGCUCUGGCAUGCACUGUCAAAUGUAGGACCUUAUAUAGACAGUUGUGUGCCUUUCCAAAUGAUGUCCAAUCAAUCUAUUUUAGAAUAAGGCUGUAACGUAACAAAAUGUGGAAAAAGUCAAGGGGUCUGAAUACUUUCCGAAUGCACUGCAACCAAGAACAUUCAUAUGGACACCACAUGGUGGCGCUAUGGCUUUUGUUAC
rnacentral:lncRNA from 1 species